GAACAGUGUACACAUACGCGCUGAACAAACAGUAUGCGCGCUAGUGAAUUUGCUCGCGUGGCCAAUCGAAGGCAAGCGGAGAAAAUAUUGUAAUGGACGUGAACGGUGCCAAUAAAUCGGCUCGUGAAUCGUCGACUAAUGACGAGUUGGUCUCGUAAUAGUACCACGAUAUUACACUGUCUCGUCGAUAACGAGCAAUAUUUCAAUGUAUCGGCCGUUAUUGCCACCUGAAGUGACGGCCGUGAUUGUAAAUCACUAAACGCGAUUACGUGGCUCGUACGAUUCCUGCUGGUAUGCCAGAUUCGAAAAUAGAGCAAAUUAACAAGAUUGCCAGACGUGUAUACGAGCGUUACGAUACUAAUUUUCUUGGAACUUUUUUUCCACCCGGACGAUCGUUAACGCGAACGUGCCAAGUUGGAUGAACCGGAUUAAAU
rnacentral:misc_RNA from 1 species